UACUUGGUGUUACUGCGAAGGGGGGACGGAGAAGGCUAUGUUGGCCGGGCGACGGUUGUCCCGGUUUAAGCGUGUAGGCUGGUUUUCCAGGCAAAUCCGGAAAACCAAGGCUGAGGCGUGAUGACGAGGCACUACGGUGCUGAAGCGACAAAUGCCCUGCUUCCAGGAAAAGCCUCUAAGCAUCAGGUAACAUCAAAUCGUACCCCAAACCGACACAGGUGGUCAGGUAGAGAAUACCAAGGCGCUUGAGAGAACUCGGGUGAAGGAACUAGGCAAAAUGGUGCCGUAACUUC
rnacentral:rRNA from 1 species